UACAUAGGGGCAAGCGUUAUCCGGAAUUAUUGGGCGUAAAGGGUGCGUAGGUGGUUGAUUAAGUCUUUGGUGUAAGUGCAGUGCUUAACGCUGUGAUGCUAAAGAAACUGGUUAACUUGAGUGUGGUAGAGGCAAGUGGAAUUCCAUGUGUAGCGGUAAAAUGCGUAAAUAUAUGGAGGAACACCAGUGGCGAAGGCGGCUUGCUGGGCCACAACUGACACUGAGGCACGAAAGCGUGGGGAGCAAACAGGAUUAGAUACCCGCGUAGU
rnacentral:rRNA from 1 species